rnacentral:rRNA from 1 species
UGACGGUACCACUUGAAUAAGCUCCGGCUAACUACGUGCCAGCAGCCGCGGUAAUACGUAGGGGGCAAGCGUUAUCCGGAUUUACUGGGUGUAAAGGGAGCGUAGACGGACCGGCAAGUCUGAUGUGAAAGGCAUGGGCUCAACCUGUGGACUGCAUUGGAAACUGUAGCCCUUGAGUAUCGGAGAGGCAAGCGGAAUUCCUAGUGUAGCGGUGAAAUGCGUAGAUAUUAGGAGGAACACCAGUGGCGAAGGCGGCCUGCUGGACUGUUACUGACGCUGAGGCACGAAAGCGUGGGGAGCAAACAGGAUUAGAUACCCUG